rnacentral:rRNA from 1 species
AUGCCUCAGCCACAAAUCUCGUUCCCCACUCAAUUGUUUCUGUCCCAAGGAGUAGCGCCGCCGCAUCGACCUCACGACAAGCGCGCAUCGCGCCGCCCUGCUGCAUCUACUCCUCCCCCAUCUCCACUACAGCGAGCAACCUCCUCCCCAUGCUUUUUUCUAUCUGCUUUUGCCGCCGCGCGCAGAGACGGAGUUGCUUUCUCCCGUUCCCAUCGGUACUGGGUGGGUGGCUGGCCGUGCCGCCUCGGCAGGGAGAACGGCGGCAUCGCCGAUGCUACAACAAGCAGUGCUAGAGACGACGACAUGGCGCGCUGCAACCUGCACCGCAGGUGA